UUUUUCUAUUUCUGCUCUUGGUUUGGAUUGAUCUCACUAUGAAGCAGUGAGAUCAAUCCAAACCAAGAGCAGAAAUAGAAAAA